rnacentral:misc_RNA from 1 species
GUAGGUGAACCUGCGGAAGGAUCAUUAACAAAUCCAAUAGAUUUGGCAGCGGGGUGAAAGCUUUGCCUGCCAAAAAUAUUAAUCCUUGGGAGGCGCCGACUGGAUAGUUGGCUAGUCCCAGCGAUAAGAUAAAUGUGUGUAGUGUUGACAGUGUGUGUAAUAAAAAUUAAUUGACAACUUUUAACAAUGGAUCUCUAGGCUCUUGCAUCGAUGAAGAACGCAGCAUCUGACUGACUAAGAUUCGGCGCAU